UGUACCCUCUUCCUAUAUUUUAUAAAAAAUUGUACGUUAGGUAUUAUAAUUAUUGCGUAUGCGAGUGCAUGUGCAAAUUAUAACCGUGUUUCCUACGCGAGCGCCACCAGUUAAAUAGCUUAACCCUAUUUACUGCUUUCCUACUUCUAUUUGGAAUUUAGUGACUGGAAUUUUUAUUAUUUCUUUUUCUUUGGUUAUUUAUAUAUUACUGCGAUAAUACUAAAAAAGAUCGCGUUAAAAUUCAUGAGGACAUAAAACGUCGAUAAUUUCACGCGACAUACAUGAUACCAAAUGUAUUUUUGAAAAAACAGUUAUUCAUAGUGAUGACCUCAACAAUUAUAACAAUACAUUCCAAGAACAUUGAGAUCGGUCGUUUAUCGUAGGCAAUUUUGGAUUUCCAUCGAAAAUUUGGUCGAGUUCUUUUAUGCAUUUUUCCUGCCAUUCGGGAUUGUUGGCUAAAAGAAAGAGCGUCAUCGCAGUCGCGGUGCCAACCGAAUCCUGCCCAGCUAACAUGAACGUGCAACAUUCUUCGACGAUGUCUUUAUCGGAGAAGCAAGGAUUUUUUUCGUUUAUUUCCACCAUGUAUUCUAGCAAAGACAUUUUUCUUGUCUCUUCUGUCUGAUCAUCAGAUGCAGAUUUUUUAUUUCGUAAAAGCUCGCGCUU